rnacentral:lncRNA from 1 species
AGCUACGAUGUUUCCGGGCGGAGAAUGCAGCUAUGUCGGGGUCAUGGCCGAGUGGACCGAGUUAAGAAUGUACGCCGUGUUGUUAGAGCCUCAAGUACAAGUCCGCAGAGUAAACUUCAAAGGGCUUCAAGUUCUCUCCAAGGUGUUGGUGUGUUUAUAGAGUACAGUGCCAGUAACUCAUGCAAGGAGAUCUGCUAAGGAAGUGCCUGACCCCACCCCCACAGUGAAACCUGGGGACUGACUCAUCAAGGUGAUAAAGAGAAAAAACCCAGUCAUCUGAGAGGUGGGAGAGACCUUACCAUGUGUUGCUACCCACACCCACCGCCGUUUGUUCACUGAGAGGCCAACCUGAAUUCACCUGUCACCUGUGAGAGAGCUGUCCCAGCCCGACGAACCUACGAAGUAAUGUCACUUACAUUACAUACAAAUGUAAGAAAAUAAUGUACUUGUGGGGUAAUAUCGGCUUAGAAGAAUUCAACCUCC